rnacentral:lncRNA from 1 species
UUCUGAGACUGAUGGCUACUUUCUGAGGUGGUCCCCUACAGUUUCAAAGCUUCCCGGAGCUCCACCUCUGCUGAGAAACCCCUCACCGAGCUUCCCUUUCUGUCUGGUUCUGUUGAACGCAAACGACAUCUGCUUCCCACUCCCUGAAACUUCUCUUCAGGGUUCCCGUCAUUGGCUCAAGCUAUGGGAGAGGGCGUGUGAGACCCAGGCCUUCCGGAGGCUUCCAGAGUUAAAGCACUCCCACGGACAGGAGACAGAACUGCCUGUGGAGAAUUGCAUUAUAGCCAAGCGCCGGGAUAUAUAUUUAUCUGUGCCUGACAUUCUCAUCUCUUUUUAAAGGAAAAGCCACACAUUUGGCCAAAAGAUGAAGUGGAAAAAAUGUACUGUUGAACAAAUAUCCAGGAUGGUUGCUCAGAAUGUAUAAAAUGAUGAACUGUGUGGAAAAAUCAUGCCUGUGGCAAAUUGUCAGCAGGCUAUAUUUGGGGGUCCGAAUGCAGGGCCCCUGCCAACUGAGUUCACAGAGCCUUAGUGUUUUUCCACUUCUAUUUAUAGCGAUGCACACAUUCACACACAAAAAAUGCAGGGGACAUUGGACUUCGUUUUUAAAUGAUGAAAAUGUUCGAAAUGUAUCUGGUUUCAGCACGUGAGAGCCGCUCUGCUGUCUACGAUCAGCCUUGCUUACUGAAGAAGGGAUUAAUCAACGUGGGGAAAACAACGUAAUAGGAUCCUUUGGGAAUCUGAAAGUCUGAAAACAACUUUUUUCUCUAUUUCCUUUUUAAAAUGUAAUUCACUUCAACAAAACUUUAUUGAGCACCAACGAUGCAAAAUGUUGAAAUGGACAUCUGAUUGUUGUCUCUCAGCCUCCAUUCCUCCUGCCCCUUUUCCAGCAGCCAUUGCUUCUAGUUGGAGAACCACGUGUUUCCAGUGAGGGAGAUUCUUCUUUCCAGCUUCAGAUGUUGAACACAAGACCUGGCUUGGCCAAUCAGGGCAAGCCAUCCCCCUGGGCACAGUGAUUGGCUCAGGCCCACCCCGAGCUGGACCAAUCAGAGUGAAGAGUGAGACUUUGGCCAGGAAUGCUGAAACAAAGACUGAGCCUUAGUGUUGGAUUUGAAGGAAGAAGCCCCAGGAGCUGCUGAGAGCUGUUUUAUAACCAUGAGCUCAAACUUUAUAGCAAGACAAAGCCAGAAUGUUCAGGUGAAGAAGCAGAGAAUGGCUGUGUGAGUUUCCUAGGCUGUCGGAACAGAGAGCCACAAACUGGGUGUCUUCAAUCCAUACAAAUGUAAUUAUCUCACAGUUCUGGAAGCUGGAAGUCUGAAAUCAAGGUGUCAGCGGGGCUAUGCUUCCUCUAAAGCCUCUAGCCAUGUAAAAUGUGCCUCCUUCGUCUUCUCAUUCUGCCAUGAUUGUAAGUUUCCUGAGGUCUCCCCAGCCACGCUUCCUGAACAGCCUGCGGAACGGGAAUAUGGCUUGUGAACCGUACUGUCUGGGGUCCGAAUCCUGGCUCUAGUAUUUCCCAGUUGUGGAGUUUUGGGCAAGCAUGCCCUCAUCCUCCUGAGCCUCAGCAACGACACUUAUCUGACAAGUUAAUCGCCAGACAAUCCAGAUGAUGCUCCUGCUACAAUGACGCAAUGAUACCAACCCGUCUCUCAAGAACGCCCCCAAAAAUUAAAGUUUUCUUUUUCCAAGGUGCCCAUGCCACCCCCUGUGUCACGCCUGAAGUAGUUAUUGAGUAAGUUGCCCCUUUUCCUUUUUUUUUUUUUAUAACCAAAUAGGCAGGAAUGAAAGAUUCUCCCCAGUGCCUGAAAGCUUGAAGGGAUGAAUAACUCCUCCCUUCUCAGGCCCAGUCCCAAGGCACAAGACCACUUGUGCCAGCAGCCAGCAGCGUGCAUCAGCAAGACAGCAGAAGCAGGAAGACAGCCUGCUGGAAGACACUUACCCU